rnacentral:rRNA from 1 species
UACCGAGGGUGCGAGCGUUAAUCGGAAUUACUGGGCGUAAAGCGCGCGUAGGCGGCUUUGCAAGUCGAUUGUGAAAUCCCCAGGCUUAACCUGGGAACUGCAUUCGAGACUGCAUAGCUAGAGUAUGGGAGAGGGAAGUGGAAUUUCAGGUGUAGCGGUGAAAUGCGUAGAUAUCUGAAGGAACAUCAGUGGCGAAAGCGACUUCCUGGACCAAUACUGACGCUCAUGUGCGAAAGCGUGGGGAGCAAACAGG